rnacentral:tRNA from 1 species
GUCUACAUAGAUUAUUUGUAUAAAUCGUGAUGCUGUUAACCUCAAGAAGAGAUUAAUUCUCUGUAGUCG